AGUGUAGGCGGAACGGUAAGUUAGGAGUUAAAUACACGGGCUUAACCCGUGGCCUGCUUUUAAUACUGCCAUUCUUGAAUAUGGGAGAGGGUAAUGGAAUUCCAGGUGUAGCGGUGGAAUGCGUAGAUAUCUGGAAGAACACCAGUUGCGAAGGCGGUUACCUGGCCCAAUAUUGACGCUGAGGCUCGAAAGCGUGGGGAGCAAACAGGAUUAGAUACCCUGGUAGUCC
rnacentral:rRNA from 1 species